rnacentral:lncRNA from 1 species
CUGAGUAAUUUUCCUUUCACUUCAUUUGAUUUCCAACUGUUUAUUUCCUUAGGAAAGAAUAAUCCAUGACCUUCGGGACCUUUAAGUACCGAACACAGGACACACUUCCCUGUAUUGUGUGGUUGGAGGGACUCCUGACAUUGGCAAACGCCUCUGUCCAGAGGAGGCUGUUUUGUGUCCUCUGUGGAAAUUUCCUCUGGUCUUCACACUGCCUGUGGCUGGCUGGUUGGAUCACGCCCAUCCGCACUGAGGAUUUUGGGGGUGAAGGAAGGCGACUGUGUCCGCAGUGGAACAAGUAAGUUUCAGUUAAGCCAAAAAACCAUACGAAUCUGGUUAUAAGACAACACAAGGCA